UCUGACUGUUCCAGGGGGUGUGACUUGGCUGGGCCUAAACUAGCUCCGCGGUCCCCAACCGCUUUCAGCGCGAAGCUGCCAUGCGUUCCGGGGGCCGCGGGCGACCCCGCCUCAGACUCGGGGAACGCAGCCUCUUGGAUCCACCCCCGGCGCCCAAGCGCCGCCUGCUACCGCGGGCGCAGCUGUUUCCCCUGCUACUGCUGGCGCUGGCAAUGGCCUGGGCAUUCUACACCAUCUGGAGCAGCUGGCAUCGCGGGACUGAGGAGCUGCCGCGGGGCCGAGAGGUGGGGGGCCGGUUGAUCGGAAGCCUCCCCGAAGCCCAGCUGCGGAGGGUGGUGGGGCAACUUGACCCACAGCGUCUCUGGAACACGUUCCUGCGCCCUCUGCUGGUUGUGCGGACGCCGGGCAGCCCAGGCAAUCUCCAAGUCCGAAAGUUCUUGGAGGCCACACUACGGACCCUGACAGCAGGCUGGCACGUGGAACUGGACCCCUUCACAGCCUCAACGCCUCUGGGGCCACUGGACUUUGGCAAUGUUGUGGCCACGCUGGACCCGGGGGCUGCCCGUCACCUCACCCUUGCCUGCCAUUACGACUCUAAGCUCUUCCCUUCUGGUUCAGCCCCCUUUGUGGGGGCCACGGAUUCAGCUGUGCCCUGUGCCCUGCUACUGGAGCUGGUUCAGGCCCUUGACCUGGAGCUGAGCAGAGCCAAGAAGCAGGCCACCCCAGUGACCCUGCAGCUGCUCUUCUUCGACGGUGAAGAGGCACUGAAGGAAUGGGGACCCAAGGACUCCAUUUAUGGCUCCCGGCACCUGGCCCAGCUCAUGGAGUCUGCACCCCACAGUCCUGGCCCCACAAGGAUCCAGGCUAUUGAGCUCUUCAUGCUUCUUGAUCUCCUGGGAGCCCCCAGUCCAACCUUCUACAGUCACUUCCCUCACACAGCCCGCUGGUUCUAUCGGCUCAGGAGCAUCGAGAAGCGCCUGCACCGCUUAAACCUGCUGCAGUCUCAUCCCCAGGAAGCGAUGUACUUCCAGCCCGGGGAGCCCCUUGGCUCUGUGGAAGACGACCACAUCCCCUUCCUCCGCAGAGGGGUUCCGGUGCUCCAUCUCAUCCCCACGCCCUUCCCUUCUGUCUGGCACACGCCUGACGACUCUGAGGCCAACCUGCACCCACCCACGAUACACAACCUGAGCCGCAUCCUUGCUGUGUUCCUGGCUGAAUACCUGGGGCUCUAGCCUCCCUGGCUGACUCUGAAGGAGAAGCACCCAGUGGGGGACGUGCCAGGGGCACCUGGAGCCAGCACAGCUUAGGCUUGGCUCGCCUUGGGUGUGCUGGCUUAUCCUUUUGGAUACCUUCAGCUCUGCUUGUACCGUGAUUGGGAGACCCUCGCUCCUUUGACCUUCUCAAGUUGUCAUCCUUCAGAGAAAUGGAGACCACAGUGUGGUAGAGCCAAAGGAAUGUGUUUGACUCCUUCCUUGAAGGAAACACUUGGUCUGAAGAUUUGCAGGGACCAUGCUGUUCUGUUUUAGUCAACCAUGGACUGGCAACUGGACCAGCACCACCACCCAACCAAGUGAAUUCUCCUGCUACUGCUGCAGACCCAACCUAACUCACACGGAUGUGCCAUAUGGGGUCCACAGAGGACCUGCUGGUAAGCAGGAAGAGAUGAAAGCCAACGCUUGCAAACUCCAGUCUGCUGGACCCAAUCAAUGGGCAAUAUAAACCAGUAUUUUCACAGACCAUGUUCUGCAGAAUUAGCAUAAAAUAGGUGUUGCAUGGAAAGGGAUCAAAACAGGGUGAGAAGACGUUAAAUGAGUUUCUUCGUUGCACAAUGUGAAUUUUCGAAUGUGCAGUGUUUUCCAAAAGUAUUUUCUAUGGAACUCCUUUACUGGGAAGCACCUCAUUGAACAAGGAUACCUCAGAAGGUACUUUGGGAAACACUGGAUUUUGAUAGUGUGAGUGCCAUCUAUGAAAGGAAUGAAUCAGACAGACCUGGAUGCAUUGCAAACUAGUUUUACCAGACUGUUCUUUCUCUCUCAGUUGUGGGUAGAGGAGUGCAAGAUGGGUGUUAACUGCGACUCUAAUGAUGGCCUAAGAACAAUUUCCCAACCCUCAUUUUCAGACUUGACUAGGGUGCAAAAAUGCAGACUCCUGGGUUCCACCGCAGACCUCCUCGGUCAGAUCUCCAGGGACGGGAUGGGACUCUAAGAAGCACCUGAGGAAGCCUCUUGGUCAGCAAGUUGGGGACAUGCUGUCCUUAUGGUUAUAGUUUGGUGCACUCACAGCUGCUCGGCAGACCUACCCCGAAGACCAUAAAGUGGAGGGCCCCUGGGCUCUGUGCCCGCGGUUUUAAUGGAGAUUCUGGUGGGCAGCAAGGAUGCCAGGCCAGGAUGGAGGGUUACUAAGUAGUGAUGGCAAGCACUGGGCUUCCCAGCCAAUGUGAGGCUGGAGAGGACUCAAGAGAAUCCCCAGACUAUCAGAGAGAGAGGAUAAACAGAAGGUCUUCGAUUCACAUUCUUCCAUGGUAGCUGGCAUUAACUGGGCAUCUGCAAUUUGCCACGCACCAUGAACAGUUUACAUAUAUUAACUCAUUUAGUGCCCCACCCUUAAAUCCUGAAAGGCACAAUUUCAGUUCUUGUUUUGCAAAGGAGGUAGCUAAGGCUAAGAUUUAUGACCUGGUUGUUUAUUAGAGGGUCCAGAUUCUCACCCACUUUACACCCGUGGCCUACCUCCCUCCCCCAAAACAUCUCUGCAGGACCAACAGGCUGUUGACAAAAAGUAGCUCCUCCUGAGGCCCUUAAUUGGCUGCAAAUUAUAGUGCAUGGAGUAGGGUGACUAAUGACCUAUUAGGUGCAAGUGGUGGAAGUCAGGGUGCAGAAAUGGAAGUUGACAGACACCAACAGCCAGAGUGGCAAGAGGGUCUCAAACCUGUUUGACAGUUCCUGUUUGUUCAUUGUGGCAGGUAUGGUGCUGGACACUUACAAAUGUACCAUCUCUCCUUAGCCUCACAGCCAUCCCAGAAGUAAGUGAGACCCUCAUCUGUUUUAGAGGGAAGGCCACGUGUUCACUUAUACCCCUGGCCUUCUGUAACUCCCUGCAAGGUGAGUGUACUACACACCAGGCACUAAGCAAGGGGGUCUGAUGCACAUUUCCCCUUGAAUCAGGGUAAUAAGGAUUGUUAGCCCCAUUUUACAGAUGAGGCUACUGAUGCUUGGCAGGGUGGUAUUUCCCCCAGCUCCCAUUUGUUCCCCAAACUUGGGCUCCCCUGGCUUCAUACUAUGUAGGGGCCCACUAGGUGUAUUUGCUAAGCACAGUCAAGCUCUCUAGGUGUGAUGUCUCACACAUCAAUCUUUUGAAGAACUGUCAGUAUUCCCAUUUUUCAAAUUAAGAAGCAGCUUCAGAGACAUCAAUUGCUUAAGAUCACAUAGCUGGAUACUUUCACUGCAACAUGUCUAGUUGUACAUUUCUGUUUAGCUUGUUUAUGACUCACUGGGCUUAUUAGUGUCACUUAUCAGUCUGGAACCACAACCAUCAUGUUUUUAAAUAUCUUUGUACUGUUCUCCUGAUUCUAGAAUGACAAUUACAUGUUAAAACUUUACUACUCUCUUCCAUAAUCUUUCCUUCAUAUUCCGUGUCUGUGCUACCUUUUGGAACUAACUCUAGUUCAGUCGGUCUUUCUUUGGUUGUAUCUAAUUUGCUGUUUAGCCUAGCUGUUGAAAUUUUAUUUCUGCUUACCAUGUCUGUAGGUUUCCCUUUAAUAUAUCCCAGGCCAUUAUUUAGUUCUGGGUCCCUGCAGAUAUUCCCAAGCUUUUGUUGUACAGGUUUCCCUUGCAUCUUAAAGCUGAGAGUUUCUAUGAUGCUUUCCAUGAAGCCAAGAUGGCAUAAAGCCAAGAGUAUUUCCCAGCUUUCCAAAGUGCAAAUUAGGGCACUUCACUUUUACAAAAGCCCUACAUUAGUAGGGAAACAGCUUCUGUUAACCCUGAAACUCUUCAGAUUUCUUUUGGUUAGUGAAAAGUUACAAUGUAGAAGGGAAGUAAGUGGCUGUAACGAAUACUUUCAGAAAAUAGGGGAUACCUGCAUUCUAAUCUGUGACUGAGUUUUACCACCUGAAGCCUCAGUGGGUCUGUUUUUGCUAGUCUCUGCUGGUUCUUGCUCAUGCUCCUUUACUCCAAGCAUUUGGUUAUUUGACUGUGUACUACUCAUUGUCCGAAAAAUUUCUAGGGGUUAUACUCAACAGUUCCUUCCAACAGAGGAUUUAUGGUUGUUACUGCCAGACAUCUCAGCUAGAAGCACCCUGGAACACAUGUGAUGUGAACCUGGGCGACAAAUCUGAGCCAAGGGCCAGCCGGUGACCGGAAAUUCUCAGGAUGGAGAGUCCAAAUCAUCUGGUCUUCCCUUCACA